rnacentral:misc_RNA from 1 species
UCCGGUUUGUCACCGGCAGUCUCUCUAGAGUGCCCUUAACCGUAGCAACUAAAGACAAGGGUUGCGCUCGUUGCGGGACUUAACCCAACAUCUCACGACACGAGCUGACGACAGCCAUGCAGCACCUGUGUCCACUUUCCCUCUCGGGCACCUAAUGCAUCUCUGCUUCGUAAGUGGCAUGUCAAGGGUAGGUAAGGUUUUUCGCGUUGCAUCGAAUUAAUCCACAUCAUCCACCGCUUGUGCGGGUCCCCGUCAAUUCCUUUGAGUUUUAAUCUUGCGACCGUACUCCCCAGGCGGUCAACUUCACGCGUUAGCUUCGUUACUGAAAAAAUGAAUCUCCAACAACUAGUUGACAUCGUUUAGGGCGUGGACUAC